ensembl:lncRNA
GUUCUCUGUAUCAUCAUUCUCAUGGGGAGUCAGGCAUUAGACCAGCUGUGCUUCUCCUGCUGUCCUUUAAAUAAAGAUUGGUAUGUGUUCAUUUCCAGCUCUAGAGCUAUGUCUGUGUUGUGUCACAAUCUAUAGAACUCACAUGUAAAGCACAGUCCUUCAGAGACUAGUAACAGCUCUACAAUGUGCUUAUUCUUCCAUGGGUAAGAUACCCUCUUGUCCAUGCUAUAGGGAAAGAAAAAAGGAGAAGGAAAAUAACACUUACUGAGCUUGAUGGAUGUGUUCAAUCUGCCCUCAGCCCCACUUUCCAUCCUUCUCCACCCUGCUCCAUGGCUCACCUCCUGUGACCUUAGUGGACUUUCUUACCAAAUGGCUUCAAGCUGGGUUUGGCCAAUAGAGGACCCUGGAGGAAUUGGAAGGAGACAAGGAGAAAAGGAUGGAAGCUGCCCUAUUCAUUUCCCGAUACCUCAGAGGUUGCCAAGGGCUGACCACAUCUCUCCACAGAAGGUCUCAGCAGCUCUCUGGAGGGAGGACCUGAUUGAGGUGAACGUUCACCGUCCAAAAUACAGCUUUCCCACUGAAGAGGAUGCUUCCCACAGGUCUUUUCCAGGAAGAACCCAAAGAGGGCUGCCAUUGCUCUGGGCCAUUUCCUCUCCAAUCAGCUGACGGCGGCACAGAGGUGCUGAGGGUGAAGUGCUAAUCCUAAACCUCUGUGCACAGUGAUGACUGCAACCAAGAGGCUGGAAGCCGCCACAGACAUGUUUGUUUUGAUUAGCACAAUAUCGGCUCAUACAUUAUUAUUAUUUUUAUAAUGCUCAAUCAACAGUUUUACAUAGGGAGAUUUCAUGUAAAAAUCCAGAUUUCCAGCUUCUCUUGAAAAACCAGAAUAUUAGAAAACACCAACUACAGUCAACAGGGACUGAGUAGUGGCUGACCCCUUUAAAAGGCGCCUGAGCUCUCCAGUUCACCAUAGUCCCUGAAUCUCCCUAAUGUCAACUAGCUUCACUCAUUUAUUUACGUGCCUGACUUUUGCAGGCACGUGAGUUGGCAAACACUAAAAUAAGUAAUGUGCACUUUUCUCAAAAGGGAGUUUAUGAUGUGGCAGGCACUUAAAAAGUCACUGACUAUAGGAUGUCACAAUUUUGAGUUCAGAAACUGUGCCUACUAUAAUUCCACUGCUGCUGGCAGCCCCUGGAACAACCUUAAGAUAGCCUCGGAACACAGCUAGCCAGCGUCCCUGCUAGCUGCUGCCUAAAAGGCAAGAGAUCGUUUACUCUAUCAUGAUGGCCUGACUGGGCUUGACGUGAUCAUUUAAAAAAGGAUAAAGAGGGCGGGCCGAGGGCCAAGUGAUUAAGCUCACACACUCUGCUUCGGUGGUCCAGGGUUUCGCCAGUUCAGAUCCCAGGUGCAGACAUGGCACCACUCAUUGAGCCAUGCUGAGGUUGUGUCCCACAUGCCACAACUAGAAGGACUCACAACUAAAAAUGUACAACUAUGUACCGAUGGGCUUUGGGGGAGAAAAAGGAAAAGUAAAAUCUUUAAUAAAAUAAAAAGGAUAAGGAGAGAACAAUGGCUUCUAGACGUUGGACCAAUCCCAUCCCACAUCUUAGGUCAUCCUUCUCUGCCCUAAUAAUGCCUAUUACAAAACACAGUCAUAAUAGGAUCUCCUUGGCAAGCUACCUGCUCCUUCUGGUUAUCGGCUGGCCCAGAGGAGUGGAUAUCUCAUGCUGGUAAAAUUGGGCACUCUCACUCUUUAAACUAGUAUGUUUGUGCUUUGGUGCUACAGCACCCAAACACAUUUUACAGGCCAAACUGGCGUCCACCUACCUGCCAAUCAUACGACCUUGGGAGAAGCAUUGCUACGGUGUCCUACCUUAAAGAAGAUGGUGAAGAAGGUAAAAUGGGAACAGCAGAGAAGGGACAGAAAGUAUAGUUGUUAACAGCGUGGAUGUCGAUGGUACAGCAGCUAAGGUUGUGCCAGUCCCAGAACCCCAUGACCUCAGGUGAGUCACAAUCUCCCUAUGUCACAGUUCUCUCAUCUAUGAAAUGGAACUGUCAUGAGGAUUGCAUGAGUUAGUAUAUGUAAAGCGAACAGUCCCUCACAUGUGAAAAGUCUAAAUAAGCUUUUUGGGUUAUUUUGAAGGCUAUUGCCAUCCCAUUUCUCCAAGCAUUUGCUCCCAUAUGAAUAUAAAAUUGUCCAUGAAGAAAAGAGAAGUACUAACAUAGUACCUUUGAAAUAUAGAAGGAGGGAACUUCAGACCUUGCCACCAGCUGAGAAGCCAUGGCUUCUCAAAUUAUAUUUAUGCAGUCAUCAUUUUUACUUUCCACCAAAGACAAAUAAGUUGUUUUCCAUUUUGAUAUCUGUCUAUGUUUGAAAGAUGUUCCUUGUUGCUUGUUGAUAGGAGGGAACUUUUUACGACUGUUGAAGUUGAAGGGACCCCAAAUAGUAUCACCCUUCUGUCUCAUGCAAAGUGAGAAUCCACUGAGAAAGAGUCAGAGAAGAGUCAGGGGCUAUAUCCCCUGCUCACCUCUGCAUCUCCAAGUCCCAAGACAGGGCCUGACACACGGUAGACACUCAAGAAAGAAAGAAUGGAAGAAGGUCAUUGAGAGAAAGGACACAAGAAAGGUGAAAGGAAGGAAGAAUGCCGAGAGGGAAGAAGGAAUGAGAGACUGGAAGAGGAGCAAAGAAACUUGAAGAGCAUUGUCUUCACUGGUAAUAAAAAGCAGAAACCAUAUUUAUGAUAUUUAGACAUGGUUCUGUGGGGAACUGGUCUUGGCCACGCCAAGAUGUCUCUUUGGCAUGAGAAUUAUUGGGCUGGUUGCUUUUGAUAAACUGGGACAGGGAAGGAGGCUCUGAGGGGUGGAACUUGCUUGCCCUUUCUUAAGAGACAUUUACAAUGUAAAAGAAAUCUCUAUCUGUAAAGGUACCUCCAUCUCUGUACCAGGAAGAAGAAAGGGGAUGACCUUCUCUCUAGAAACUCUUAAUCAAUACCAAAGGCAAGGACUUAAAUCUGCAUAAUAAUCUUAUUCCUGUUUCUGGUAACCUCCUGUAACUGACUCCCCCCACCCGCAACAUCCUCCUUUGUCUUUAGCUGGAUAUGAUAUUUAAGUGGGGGCUUCAGCCAUUUUGGUGAGUUGCUCAGCUUGCCCAAGCCUCUCCCAUGUAUACAUGUUAUAAAGCUUUGUUUAAUUUUCUCCUGCUAUUCUGUCUCAUGUGAAUUUAAU